rnacentral:rRNA from 1 species
UACCAGCACCCCGAGUGGUCGGGACGUUUAUUGGGCCUAAAGCAUCCGUAGCCGGUUCUACAAGUCUUCCGUUAAAUCCACCUGCUCAACAGAUAGGCUGCGGAAGAUACUAUGGAGCUAGGAGGCGGGAGAGGCAAGCGGUACUCGAUGGGUAGGGGUAAAAUCCGUUGAUCCAUUGAAGACCACCAGUGGCGAAGGCGGCUUGCCAGAACGCGCUCGACGGUGAGGGAUGAAAGCUGGGGGAGCAAACCGG